AGAAGUGAGAGCAAUAUGACUGUGACAUCUGUCCCUCCCUUGAGUGCUAGGAUUGAUUCGUCUGGUCUGACUAGCUAGGCAGGUGUCUCUUUCCUCCUCAUGGCUCUAUGUGUGUCUCUCUUGAAGCUAUCCCCAGUUGAAGAAGAUGGCCUUCCCUGAUAGAGGAGGGUUGUCCUUUGGUCAAAGGUAGAAAGGUAGUUGUGCUCCCCUGCUGGAACCUCCAAACAAGCCCUCAGGGGUUAUCAUUUUACACAUCCCAGAGGUGAGUGAAGGGCCACUGAAGACAGAAUGAUCAUCUUUUCUUC
rnacentral:snRNA from 1 species